GCUCUCUCUAACUCUCUCUCUCCAAAGGUUUUGUACAUUGGGUUGGCAUUGCAGGUUUUACACAAUACAAUGUAAACUUAUUUUCUCUAUGCUAUAGCAACAUCCAAAAGAAGCGUGAACGUGAAAAUUGAAAGGUUUUUUGUGAAAACACGUAACAUAUACGGUUGAUUUAAUUGCAUUGAACAUGAGUGGCCGAGAGGGUGGAAAGAAAAAGCCGCUGAAGGCACCAAAGAAGAAGGACUCCGAGGUGGAUGAAGAGGAUGCUGCCCACAAGCAGAAACUGAAGGAACAGCAGAAGAAGCUGGAUGAAGCGAAAACGAAAGCAGCGCAGAAGGGUCCUCUGGUUGGUGGAGGUAUCAAGAAAUCAGGGAAGAAAUGAUACCGGUUAGCCGGUUACAAAUGUUCCUUAAUUUUUCGAAAACAUUUUACUGCUGCAAAAGAAUGUGAUUCCCCAUGAUGGUUCCAUAAUUGAAUUUUUACGAUAUUAAAAUAUGUAUUCUAGUUGUGGGAGAAGAGUUCAACAUUUAAAGUAGGAUGUAGCUUUUAUCUGUUGUAGAGCACAAAAGAAAAGAAAAAACUUUUAAAAUUAUAAAUAUUCUGUGGUCAUUUCUUGGAUAGCAUUUAUACCAUAUAAUGAUAUGUAUUAAAGUUAGUCAUGUAAAGUCAGGCAAAUGAUAAAGACAACAUUCAUUUAAAUAUUUUAGGAUGCUGCUGAGUAUUUAAAUGUGUUGUUUGCAAAUUACAAUUUUUUAAAUUCAGUAAAUCAACAGAUUUUUCAACAGGGCCCAGAGUUUCAGCUAUCAGACAAUAACUCGUAUUGCUUCAUUUAAUUUGUGGAUUUCUUGCCAAAUUAAAGUGAAACUAAAACCUUAACCGAUAAGUUUUUCUAUGUGUUGUUUUAGCCUUGUUUGAACAUUGCAAUUUUGGAAUCUGCUAUGUUUCUUGUUUGAACUGGGUAACCAUAAAAUUUUCAUGUAAUGUACUAACUAUUAAAAAUUAAUUUGGGUAAAGUUAUUUUGAUCACUUGAGUAUUUGGAGAUAAUUAUUUUAUGUAUGAUCUUUCUUGACAGUAAAAUAUAAGAAUGGUAAUACAGCACUAAUAUUGUAGACUAAGUUAAUGCAUUUAAUUUUUUUUUACUUUCAAGUAUUCAAAUUGUCAGUUGUGCUUAAUAUUUAACUGUAAAAUUUAAAAACUUUAUUGGGAAAUAAGUUAAGUAUUGUUCUCAAACAAAAGUAUAAUAUAUUUCCUAGCAUUUUUUCUGUGUCAGUUCCAUUAUCAGUAGAAUUAGGGAGCAUAGUUUUAAGUUUAUAUAAAUUUAAAAAAAAAAAAUUUGGCUAUGCAAUUUUUUUGUUCUUUGCUUAACCACACCUGUUCACAAAAUUUAACAUUGGCUAAUUGCAAAAAAUAUAUAUGCAUUCUCUUUUUUUUUUUGGCUUUUUCUAGAACUUAGCACAGUGUGAAAUUUCACAAGAGAACCAUAUGUUUGAAAUGGUCCAGUUACAAUUAAUAAUGUUUGAAAAAUAUUUAUGUAUUUUUUGUUUUUAAUGUUAAUGUUUGGAAUUGGGGUGAAGGUAUUUUGGCCAUGAAAGAAUGAGUAUGACAGUGUUACAUGUCCAUAUUGAUUGUAAAUUUAUCAUUAUAGAACACUUGCAUUUUUAA